GCAAGAGCUCAGCAGGCAGUGGGA
rnacentral:piRNA from 1 species